rnacentral:rRNA from 1 species
AGAGUUUGAUCCUGGCUCAGGAUGAACGCUGGCGGUAUGCCUAACACAUGCAAGUCGAACGAUGUCUUCGGACAUAGUGGCGGACGGGUGAGUAACGCGUGAGAAUCUGCCUCUAGGAUGGGGAUAACGGUUGGAAACGACCGCUAACACCCAAUAUGCCGUAAGGUGAAAAAUUUAUUGCCUGGAGAGGAGCUCGCGUCUGAUUAGCUAGUUGGUGGGGUAAGAGCUCACCAAGGCCUCGAUCAGUAGCUGGUCUGAGAGGAUGAGCAGCCACACUGGGACUGAGACACGGCCCAGACUCCUACGGGAGGCAGCAGUGGGGAAUUUUCCGCAAUGGGCGAAAGCCUGACGGAGCAAUACCGCGUGAGGGAGGAAUGCCUUUGGGUUGUAAACCUCUUUUCUCAGGGAAGAAGAUCUGACGGUACCUGAGGAAUAAGUAUCGGCUAACUCCGUGCCAGCAGCCGCGGUAAUACGGAGGAUGCAAGCGUUAUCCGGAAUCAUUGGGCGUAAAGCGUCCGCAGGUGGUUUCCAAAGUCUGCUGUUAAAGACUGGAGCUCAACUCCGGAACGGCGGUGGAAACUUGGAAACUAGAGUUCGGUAGGGGUAGCAGGAAUUCCCAGUGUAGCGGUGAAAUGCGUAGAUAUUGGGAAGAACAUCGGUGGCGAAGGCGUGCUACUGGACCGUAACUGACACUCAGGGACGAAAGCUAGGGGAGCGAAAGGGAUUAGAUACCCCUGUAGUCCUAGCUGUAAACGAUGGAAACUAGGUGUGGCUUGUAUCGACCCGAGCCGUGCCGUANCUAACGCGUUAAGUUUCCCGCCUGGGGAGU